AGAGUUUGAUCAUGGCUCAGGACGAACGCUGGCGGCGCGCCUAAAACAUGCAAGUCGAACGAGAAGCCCGGGCUUGCCCGGGUGGACAGUGGCGAACGGGUGAGUAACACGUGAGGAACCUGCCCCGAAGACCGGGACAACACCGGGAAACCGGUGCUAAUACCGGAUGCCUUCACCGGAUCGCAUGGUCUGGUGAAGAAAUGGAUUCCGCUUCGGGAUGGCCUCGCGGCCUAUCAGCUUGUUGGUGAGGUAACGGCUCACCAAGGCAACGACGGGUAACUGGUCUGAGAGGAUGUCCAGCCACACUGGGACUGAGACACGGCCCAGACUCCUACGGGAGGCAGCAGUUAGGAAUCUUGCGCAAUGGACGAAAGUCUGACGCAGCGACGCCGCGUGCGGGAUGACGGCCUUCGGGUUGUAAACCGCUUUCAGCAGGGACGAAAUUGACGGUACCUGCAGAAGAAGCCCCGGCCAACUACGUGCCAGCAGCCGCGGUA
rnacentral:rRNA from 1 species